CGAAUGCUGACAUAAGUAACGAUAAAGCGGGUGAAAAGCCCGCUCGCCGGAAGACCAAGGGUUCCUGUCCAACGUUAAUCGGGGCAGGGUGAGUCGACCCCUAAGGCGAGGCCGAAAGGCGUAGUCGAUGGGAAACAGGUUAAUAUUCCUGUACUUGGUGUUACUGCGAAGGGGGGACGGAGAAGGCUAUGUUGGCCGGGCGACGGUUGUCCCGGUUUAAGCGUGUAGGCUGGUUUUCCAGGCAAAUCCGGAAAAUCAAGGCUGAGGCGUGAUGACGAGGCACUACGGUGCUGAAGCAACAAAUGCCCUGCUUCCAGGAAAAGCCUCUAAGCAUCAGGU
rnacentral:rRNA from 1 species